GAUGAACGCUGGCGGCGUGCUUAACACGUGCAAGUCGAACGAGAAGUGAAGACGGAAACCUUCGGGCGGAAGGCUUUAUUUCGAGUGGCGGACGGGUGAGUAACGCGUGGGUAACCUGCCUCAUACAGGGGGAUAACAGUUGGAAACGACUGUUAAUACCGCAUAAAACCACAGCACCGCAUGGUGCGGGGGUAAAAACUCCGGUGGUAUGAGAUGGACCCGCGUUCGAUUAGCCAGUUGGCGGGGUAACGGCCCACCAAAGCGACGAUCGAUAGCCGAUCUGAGAGGAUGACCGGCCACAUUGGGACUGAGACACGGCCCAAACUCCUACGGGAGGCAGCAGUGGGGAAUAUUGCACAAUGGGGGAAACCCUGAUGCAGCGACGCCGCGUGAGUGAAGAAGUAUUUCGGUAUGUAAAGCUCUAUCAGCAGGGAAGAAAAUGACGGUACCUGAGUAAGAAGCCCCGGCUAACUACGUG
rnacentral:rRNA from 1 species